rnacentral:rRNA from 1 species
GUGGGGAAUAUUGGACAAUGGGCGAAAGCCUGAUCCAGCCAUGCCGCGUGUGUGAAGAAGGUCUUCGGAUUGUAAAGCACUUUAAGUUGGGAGGAAGGGCAGUAAGUUAAUACCUUGCUGUUUUGACGUUACCGACAGAAUAAGCACCGGCUAACUUCGUGCCAGCAGCCGCGGUAAUACGAAGGGUGCAAGCGUUAAUCGGAAUUACUGGGCGUAAAGCGCGCGUAGGUGGUUUUGUAAGUUGGAGGUGAAAUCCCCGGGCUCAACCUGGGAACUGCCUCCAAAACUGCAUGACUAGGGUACGGUAGAGGGUAGUGGAAUUUCCUGUGUAGCGGUGAAAUGCGUAGAUAUAGGAAGGAACACCAGUGGCGAAGGCGACUACCUGGACUGAUACUGACACUGAGGUGCGAAAGCGUGGGGAGCAAACAGGAUUAGAUACCCGGGUAGUCC